UACGUAGGGAGCAAGCGUUGUCCGGAAUCAUUGGGCGUAAAGCGCGCGUAGGUGGCUUCGUAAGUCCGUUGUGAAAGUCAAAGGCUCAACCUUUGAAUGCCGAUGGAUACUGCGGAGCUAGAGUACGGAAGAGGCGAGUGGAAUUCCUGGUGUAGCGGUGGAAUGCGCAGAUAUCAGGAGGAACACCAAUAGCGAAGGCAGCUCGCUGGGACGUUACUGACACUAAGGCGCGAAAGCCAGGGGAGCGAACGGG
rnacentral:rRNA from 1 species